CUCGGAUGGAGAGUGUGACCCUUCUGAGAAGCCUGCCCCUGAUUCCUGUUCUCCCAGGACUCCUCUUCUGUUGCAGACAAGUGCCUUACAGCUCAGCUGUGACAGCAACCUGGAUCUGGGCGAGAAACCAAGCAGCAUUCAGAGAGUUGAACAACUCAGGUUUGUUAUGCCAGCGGGCCCAGAGGAGUUAACACUCCAAGCUCUGGACCCCGUCUGUAGGUUUACACAGGCUUUACUAGGCUGCCAGUUUACACUCUGCAACAUCAUAUGCAACUAAGGUAUAACAAAAGUUGACUAAUUAGGAACAAGCUUUGUAGAAAUGGGCCAAUCAAGAGUGAGAGGAAUAACCAAUCAGGAGUGAGCUCCAUGCAAAUGAAGUACUACAAAUGGACCAAUCAGGAGUUAGCUUAGGGAACCAAUAGAAUUUUAGGGGUAAGUUCCACUUUCCUAGAAGCCAUUUCAGAGACAAAAAGUGAGAUAGAGCCGCUGGGCCAGGGAACCGGAUGGUGUUGGCAGGAGAGCAGCGGCCCUGCCUGGGGGCCCUGCCGGUCUUUUUAUGGGGCUCCCCGCCUCACUUCCACAGCACCUAGCAGGACCUAAGAUUAUCUCAUUUUGACAUGUUGCCCCGUUGAUGAAAUGUCUCCAUCACAUCUCCACUGGGUGUGAUCUUCAGAAGGGCAGGGACUUGGUGCUCUUAACCGUUGUUGAGGACCACACCUGGGCCCAGGGCCUAAACAAGAACUUUGCCCGAAUUGCUUUUCUGGAAACUUGGAUUCAGCUGCGUCCGGUUUGAGCUCAAGCCGGUUGAGACUGGUUAGGCCGUGUUAGGACCACGACCCUCCAACUGGGCCUGCACGAGUGUCCGCUUGGUGACCUUUUGACUCCCAGGGCCUCAAAUGCCACCCUCAAAAGGUGCUAAGGCUGCCUCUUACUUGUACGGUUUGUUUUUUAUGAGGGGGGUAAUUAGGUUUACUCAUUUAUUUCUGCUUGGAGGAGGGGCUGGGGCUCUAACUCCGGCCCGCUUGCGCGCUGAGCACGCGCGCUCUACCCACCCCCAGGGCUGCCUCUCUCUGCCCAUGCGCCCGCGCAGGCCCGUCCUGUCCAAUCGCCGCCCGCGUCCUCCGCAGCCUCCGCCCUAUCCCAUAAACGCCCGAGUUGGGGAGGGGUUUCAGGUUAGUUCUGUCUGGCCGUCGUCGCUGGGCGCCCCAGAAGGAGCCCCUCCUCUGCUGCACGCCUGGCGUGGGCCUCGCUGCCCGCGGGCAGACAGGCCUGGGGUGCUGCUCCCUGGGGCUCUGCGGACACGCGCUCGACCAACUGGCUGCUUGGGGCCGGGCUGGGGGCUGCGCGCCCUCUCAGUGGUCCGCGGAAGGCCUCGCCCCUCUCAGCCUGUUUGCCCAGCUUGGAGCCGGGCUGCUGCGAGCCAGGCUCCUCGGCUGCAGGGCGGCCUGGUGCCCCUGCUUGGCCCCCGCAACCUAAGGACUUAUGUUUCCAGACGAGAAGGAUGGACAGUCUGCAGCGCCAAAACCCACUUCCCAGUGCUGGUCUCCUUGGGCUCAGCCGACCAGGCGCACCUGGUUGCUGUUUCCUGUGGAUUCAUUGUCAGGCUCUGCGGGACAGGACCACCACCACUGCUUCUGCCCCAGGUUGACCCUGGAGACUGCGGUGCCCCUCCCUCGGGUCCUCUCGAGACUCCUUGGCUUGGGCCUGCAGAAGUCAUCUGUGCCACCCAGGCCACGUUAGGGUCUUGGUUCCUCUGGAGCCGCAGGCCAUGCCAGGCCUCUGCCCUGGAACUGGCCGCCCCUCAUGGGUGAGCGGCACAUUCUUGCGUGGACCGGGACCACCCUAGACGCGGGAGCCGGCCACGCUGCUGGGCCCGGAGGCUUUCUGGAAAAUCGUCCACUACACGAAAACUUCCACCACCUGGCUCAGAGGCCCGGACAUCUGCUCUUUAUCUUCCUUUUGCUCGGUGCCACGCUGCGGCUUCUUGCUUCUUGGGGUCUCACCUCCAAGAGGGAGGUAUGAGGUGGACGCUUGUUGCUUUUGUCUGACCGGCGUCCUUCUGUCUCCUGGUAACAGCGCCCACCCUGCUUGCCCAAGCUGUCCUGCCCCCUGCCCAUCCCAGCACCCACCCUUCCAGACUACAGGGGUGAGUGUGUGUGCCAGUCCUGGCCGGCUGGAGCACCCUAGCGUCCUGGUCACGGUGGUGGCCAUCACCCAGGCUGCGCCGGGCAGGCAGCGUUCUUCCCUGAACUUCACCUCCAGGUGCUGGGAGGCAGUAUGUUGCGUCACUGAAUUUGACAAGUUAUGGAUCUGGGGUCCUUGCCGCAUGGAGCAGGGGUGCAGGAAAUCAAGCAGGGACAAGCAGAGGCCCAGGACUGAAACGGCCUCACUCGUCCCCGGGCUCCUCUGCCCCUCGGUGACCCUGCCCUGGCUCUUGUGCCGGGUGGACGUCCAAUCGAGGUUUCUGGGCAGGCCUUGUUUUUCUGGAUAGAAAAGAACAGAUUUCCACUUUCCUUCUGCUUUUAAAAGCGUCGUGGAGGCCACAUGUCUGAGGGACAUCGCAAAGACCCGUCACAGAGCCCACCCCAGACUUAUGGCUAGGCGUGGACAACGAACCCUGGCGUGUUCCAAGCACGGGUAGGUGAGUUCUCCAUGAUGGCAGCUGAAGGUACCCCUAACUGAUAAGCCUGCCACUGGAGACGUCUUCCCAGCUGCCCACGGAUGUCAUCCUUGUGCAGGGGUGGUGUCCCCACCCACGUGUGAGACUGGCCGGAGUGUGUAACCUGUGGACAGUGUAGCAAGAGAUGUCGGGGAUGCAGCAAGAAACGGCAGCUGGAAUUUGAACUGAGACCCGGGUGCUGUGUCUCUACUAACUCCGGCGGCAAUUUCAGGGUGGUGUCUGGGGGAUAAAAGGUCUGGCCACCCCCCAGCGAAGGCUUCCUGGGCCCUGUCACGACCCUGAGGAGCCGGGAGGAACCACAUUCACCCAGCACCCCUCCUCAGCCUGUGCCCAGUGCGGUCCUUUGCUGAGCUGGGCUCCUGUGGGUCUGUGACUGUGACCGUGGCCCGUGUGAGCUUCUCUUCCCCACGACCCCUGAGGUCCUAGCUCGGCCCCCGGCCCACGCGUCUCUGAAGUACCCACUGCCCAUCAGCGGGUUCUCUGAAUGCCAGGGUGAAAGCCACACGAGUUCGCUCUGCCUGGCCCAGCACGAGGUGAGGACGCCAAGACUCCUUCUGGGUGACCCCUUGCUGGCUCCUCCACCCCGAGGAAGGUCCCCACAGUCAACCAGCUGCUGCCUCCUGCUCCAAAGUCUGUUUCAACCUGCAAAUCCUAAGGUUCUGUCCUUGAAGAAUGCUCUGUCUUAGGGCAGAGGAUGGCAUGACUGAGGCCCCCCCCCAGCUCCAGGUGAGGCCCCCCGCUGUGUGGCUGGUAGUCCAUCCCUUCUCAGGCAUUGGAGGUCAGGCCUCGUCCUCUCUCUCUUGACCCAGAAACAGCCUCCUUGCCUCUGGCCUCUCCUGUCUGAGCUGUCCUCCACAGGCAGCUGGGAGGGUCUCUCCCCGUGCUCACUCGGCUCCCUGCUUCCAGCCCUCCUCUGUCUCCCUUGUUCUCCGGGGUGAAGGCCUGUGCACAGUGCUCAGGACCCUUCACCAUCCCCGCCUGCCCUUCCAGCUUCCUCUCCUGACACUUGCCACUUAAAACCCGCCAUCCACAACAUGUCUCUCUGUUCCCAAGAGGCACCAAGCCUUCACACCUCUAAGCCUCUGCACUCACUGCAGCCUGAAUCUGCGAUGCCUGAGAAAACUCCUACUCAUCCUUCAGCACCCAGCUCAGAUGACACUGUUCUCCCCAGAGGUGCUACUCGCGCCUCCUCCCUGCGGGCCCACACUCUGUGGCUCCGGUAGGGCCCCCACACUCGGCUGACACUGUCCACUCCUUGCUGGAGGUCCCACAGACAGAAGGCUCUCUGGGGCCAGACUCUGUUAAUGUUAACACCACCAGCCGCACUACCAUUACUCUUUAUGGGGGGCACUGUGAUAAGGGAUAAACACAAUAAUUAUCUCAGUAGUCAUUAGAAAUUUUCUCAAUGUAAGCACUAUUCUAGGUGUUUUAUACUUGUUAGCAUUUUAUCUUCAAAUACCCUAUGAACUGGGUAAAAUAAUUAUGAUGAUGAUUAAUCUCAUCACCCCCAUUUUACAGAUGAGGAAACGGAGGCUCCCAGGAGCAAGAACGACUUACGCAGGUCACCACCCCAGAGCUACACCCUCAGCCCAUGCACCGUCUGCUCCCAUCUUACUGAACCUCCACCAAGUUCCAGAGGAACAGGGCCACCCCCACUUCACAGAUCAAGCCACUGAGGCUCACAGAGGGAGACGGAACAGCUUGGUCCCACGGUAAAUAUCUGGAAACGCUGGGCUUCAAGAACCAGGUCAGGCUGGGCCUCCCUCCUCACCAUCUCCAAGGCCCCAGGCAGGGCCUGCGGCGGAUGCCAGCCACCACUGUCCCUUUGUGGGCCCUGGGUAUUGUCCCCAGGAGGAAGGCCUGGGUUCCCACUAGCGGCCACCCACACACUCGGUUCCAAGGAUAAUGGAAUCCACAAGCAGCCGACCUCUCCAGCUCCAGACGGCGCCCCU
ensembl:lncRNA